GAUCCUGGCUCAGGACGAACGCUGGCGGCGUGCUUAACACAUGCAAGUCGAACGAGAAUCUACUGAAAGAGUUUUCGGACAAUGGAUGUAGAGGAAAGUGGCGGACGGGUGAGUAACGCGUGAGGAACCUGCCUUGAAGAGGGGGACAACAGUUGGAAACGACUGCUAAUACCGCAUAACGCAUAGGGGUCGCAUGAUCUUUAUGCCAAAGAUUUAUUGCUUCAAGAUGGCCUCGCGU
rnacentral:rRNA from 1 species